rnacentral:snRNA from 1 species
GGAUAUGAGGGUGAUCUGACUGUGACAUUUAUCACUCCAUUGACUGCCAUGAUUGAUUUGGCUGAUCUGGCUGAUUAGGUGGAUCUCCCCUUUCUGUCUCAUUGCUACUCCACGUGCAUCCCUCCUGAAUCUGCAUGUUCAGUCAAAGAUGACUACCUUCCCCAAUAGAGACAUACUGUUCCCUCGUCAAGGGUAUAUGGUAGCUGCACUCACCUGCUAGAACCUCCAGAUAAGCUAAAGGUUCAUUCGUAAGAAAACACAGGGUAGUUAAACUUCCUGGACUGCAGACACAUCCCAGUGAGGCAUGGGGCAGUCUGUCAUUGUAA